UCCCGAGUACCUGGGACUACAGGCGCCAGCCACCAUGCCUGGCUAAUUUUUCAAGGUCUUUUUACUCUCAUUGUCAUUAGAUUUUAUUCUGCAAUCUUCUAGCUUCCAUUGUUGUAGAUGAAAAGCCUGAGGAAGGUCUGAUACUCCUUUAUAAGUCAUUUGUUCUUUUUGCCUGGAAACUUACAAAAAUUUCUCUUUAUCCUGGAAGUUGAGGGCUUUUUACAGGAUAUUUCUAGAUGUGUGCCUUUUUUUCUCAAUCCAGACUGGAAUUCAAUGAGCCCUUUUAAAUAACAAGUCUUUUUUAAUCACAGAAGCAUUUUCUCUUUCUCUUUCUCUCUCUCUCUUUCUUUGUUUUGACAGAGUCUCACUCUGUUGCCCAAGCUGGAGUGCAGUGGCAUGAUCACAGCUCACUGCAGCCUUGACCUCCGACUCAAGUGUUCCUCCCACCUCAACUUCAUCAUUUAUUUAAUCCCUGUACUUCCUCCAACAAUUCCUUUUCUCCUUCUUGAAUUUCUGUUUCUUAAAUUAGGUCUUCUGGAUCAAUCCUCUAAGCCUUUUAUCAUGGCAAAAUUGCAUGGGCAUUAAGAAGCAAAAACAUGUGAUUAACAACAGCACAGCAAACCACCACAGCACAUGUUUACCUAUGUAACAAACCUACACAUCCUUCACAUGUAUCCUGGAACUUAAAAUAAAAUUAAGUUAAAUUUAAAACAACAACAACAACAACAAACCAGCACUUCACAGCACAGUCACAGAAGCGCAACUACCUGGGUCUGAACACCAGCUGUGCAACCCUGGGAUUGUUCCUUACCCCUCUGAUCCUCAGUUUCCUCAGCUGUGACAUGGGUUGUGAAAUGAUCCCUCUGAGUUCCUUCCCUAGACUCACUGGAGAAAACAGCAUAUCCAGGGGCACAAAGUGAUAUUAUACAGAAGGCACAGACAACAAAUUAACAGAACUCUGCUGCUCUAGGACAUAGCUCCUUCAAUCCUGGCCUUUGGAUCAGGUGACCGGAGGGCCACUCUCUAAAUAUCUCCUCCCAGUACCACCAUUUCUGCACUGGCUAGUAAGGACCAAAUGUGGCCCCUGUUCCUUUCCUCCCAUUCUGCUUUUGGGUAGUGGCUGCUUCCUGCUGAGACAGCAUGUUUUUGGGCACUCCCUCUGGGAACAUGGCAUAAGAGGGAGUCAGAAGCCUUCCUCUCAUCUCUGCCUCCAAGUCUAUCACCUUAGACAAGUCGCUGAGCCUCUCCAAGCCUCAGUUUUUUCAUCUAAAAAAUAAAGAAGGACCCUCUCCUAGAGACUCUAGAGGGAGCAUGGCCCUGCCACCACCUUGAUUUCUGACUUCUAACCUCCAGAAUUGUAAAAGAAUAGAUUUCUGUCAUUUUAAGCCACAGUUUGUGGUACUAACACAGACACCUUCUCCUCUGCCAAAAAUAAUAAUUCAUGUGAUGGGAUAAAAAUGACUGGCGAGUUCCCAACCUUUCCCACCCCCAUGGCCCCUAAUGAGGGUCCUGGUUACACUCUCCUCAGUUCCUCCUGGAGCCCACCCUCCAAGGAAGGAGCCCCACCCUGCCAGCCAUUUGUGAGAUAAAAAUCAGAGGAAACGGAAACUGAGAGCCAGACCGGGAGCCCCUGCAGCAAGUGAGAACCAUGUGUGGGAGAAGACGGCGGGGGACGUGCAAGAAGAACUGUGCCUCUCACAUGGCCACCGUGAGAAUCGAGUGCAGUCUAACGAAGGACUACGUUCACUUAUCGGUGUGAGAAACACACGUGAAAGACUUGAGUUAUUUUGAAAUCACGUUUUGUUUCAUGGUCUUUUGACCGCAUCGCAGCUCCAGCACAUUGCUGAGCCAUGUGGACCGAGGCUCUGUGAGCUUUCCUCUCCUCCCCAUCACUGAAUGCUUUCUGCCCUCCAGGCCCCUGCUAAGUGCUUGGCAGACUGCUCUCCUGUCCUCACAGCAACUCUAGAAGGACAGUGCUGUUUUAGAUGACAAAACUGAAGCCUCACAGCAAACCUCAGUGAAAUAGCCAAGGUCUAAAAGCUCAGAUUACCUCACGCCUAGCUCAGAGCUAUUAGAAUAAUAAUAGAAGCAGCAAGGAGCCUUGAGGCGACACCUAGAAGCUGGCAACCAACCCUACUACUGGUCUAUGCUCUUGGGACAGCCUUGCCUCCUGGGAUAAUGGCAGCUCUGUUACCCUCCGGGAGAUAGAGAAUGGUGUGUUUCUGGCAUUGAGGCCUAGCCAGGCCAGGGUGGGCAGAGGUGGCUGCUAUACAAUGGGCUCUGGAGCCAGACUGACAGGGUUCCCCCCAGCUCUGCCACUCUCUAGCUAUAUGGGCAUGUUAUCUGACCUCCCUGGGCCUCUGUUUCCUCAUCUGCAAAAUGGGGAUAAUAAUAGUUGCCACCUCAGAGGGUAGUUGUGAGGAUUAAGUGAAUUAAUACAGUAUGUGACAUGCUUAGAACAGCACUGGACACAGUAAGCCCUUAAUAAAAGCUAGCUCUUGUGAUUAUUGAAAAACAUGAUGCUCUACUCAGAUCUGACAAGACCUUAGCUACAAAAAAUAUAAAUCAUCAAGCAGACUGUC